rnacentral:rRNA from 1 species
UACGGGGGGAGCAAGCGUUGUUCGGAUUUACUGGGCGUAAAGGGCGCGUAGGCGGCCAGCACAAGUCAGUUGUGAAAUCUCCGAGCUUAACUCGGAAAGGUCAACUGAUACUGUGCGGCUAGAGUGCGGAAGGGGCAACUGGAAUUCUUGGUGUAGCGGUGAAAUGCGUAGAUAUCAGGAGGAACACCGGUGGCGAAGGCGGAUCUCUGGGCCUGUCCUGACGCUCAGGCGCGAAAGCUAGGGGAGCAAACAGG